rnacentral:rRNA from 1 species
ACUUUGAAGAGAGAGUUCAAAAGGGCGUGAAACCGCUUAGAAUAAAACGGACGGAACCAUCUGACGCCCUCGGGAAUCAGUCGAACGUCGCGCGAACGCGUUUGGGUUUAACGGAACGUAAAAGUCCGACUCUGAACGUCUAGUAGUCGUGUAUGUGAGGCGCAUUUCUCGAGGGUUAGCGUCGCGACCGAUGCCAAUGGCCGGUGAAAUCGUCCGGUUGAGGUGGAGUACCCUUUACCGGGUAUUCCUUACCAGCUUAGCGAUAAUAAUCGCCGGACCGUAGCAUCGAGCGUCUAUAUAUUUUAAACGUCGGCGUUAAUCGCGCUCGCUAGAAUACGGCGGAGAUUCGGCCUAUUGAGCGACGCCUGCUCGCAGGCGAUCGUUUAACUCGAGGUCGUUUUCAAAGUCGUCUGCGACGUACCGACGUUCAGGCGUCAGCGGCGUCCGAGUUGGUCACCCGUCCGACCCGUCUUGAAACACGGACCAAGGAGUCUAACGUAUGCGCGAGCUAAUGGGUGGAAAACCUAUAAGCGCAAUAAAAGUAAAAACCGUCUUUAGACGGUCGAGGUACGAUCUCGGAUUAUAUAUAGUCCGAGUCGCAGUACCGUCCCGUCCCGACCGCACGUCGGUAGGGCGGAGAUAGAGCGCAUGCGUUGGGACCCGAAAGAUGGUGAACUAUGCCUGAGCAGAGCGAAGCCAGAGGAAACUCUGGUGGAGGUUCGUAGCGGUUCUGACGUGCAAAUCGAUCGUCAGACUUGGGUAUAGGGGCGAAA